rnacentral:lncRNA from 1 species
UAUCCAACCAUCCUCCAUAACCAACUUCUCAAAUCAACAUAUCCAUAUCAUCCUAAUAUUAAAUUACAUCGAUUACAUAAAAUAAUAAAAUAACACAACUCGCAAAAAUCCCAAAUAUAAUACUAAUUAAAAUCCACGACUCCUAGCACCAUCACGUUGCCACAAUAUCACACUAACGUUCGCUACUGGGUUGACUGAUGUACCUGUAACUCUCCUGUGGGGGGAAAAAUAUAAAAUAAUAAAAGAGGGGUGAGUAUAAAACUCAGUGAGCUCAGUGAGUGGAUAGUAGUUACUGACAAUUUAAUAAAUUUAUUUAAAAUGAUUUAAUCUUUCUCAAAUCAAUUUCUCAAAUCGUUUCUCAAAUCAAUUUCAAUUUCUCAAAAUAUCAUAAGAACUUGCUCAAACUCAUUUAAUGCAAAUCAGUUCAUUGAAACACUAUAAUACAUAUAUUCGUAUAAAAUCGAUGGAAUCAUAUAAUACUCAUCAUAUCAAAUACUGAAGACUAAAAACUGUCAUCAAACAAGUACCCAAGGGAUAAUCUGAUCAUAUCCGGACCUCGACGGACGGGCAAUGACGUACUAUCUGGGUAGCGUCACGCCCCGGAGCUACAACGGAUAGAUGGGGACGAUCUCAUCUCAUAUCUCAUAUAUCUGUACUGUGCAUGCAUAAGCCCCCAAAAGGCAAAAGCGCCCGAACACACGGCCCAAAGCCUCUAUGUGUGUCCCGACGGGCCCCAAAGGCCUCUAUCUCAUCUUAUCUGUAUCUCUUUUCUGUAUCUCUUUUCUCAUCUCAUAUUAUCUGUUUCUCUGUAUCUGGAGGGAAGGGUACUGUCUAAUGAUUUCAAAAAUAACAUAUACAUAAACAUAGAAUCUCAUCCGAAAUCUCAUUUUCUUUCUAUUCAACAUAUCUCAAAAUCUGCUCAAUUCUAAUAUCAUGCCUUUACUAAAAAAAAACGCUAAUAAAAUCAUUAAUCAAACUCAUUCUCAAUAACAAUAAAGACCGACACAUAGAUAAAAAUUAAUUUACCGGAAAAUCAUUUAAUCGAAGCAUUAAAUACUUAUCAUAAAAUCAGCAUAUACUAUGAAAAUAGGUUUUGUAUAUUCCACUCACAGUGAUGAUGUCUAGACUCGGUAUCAACAACGUCCGCGGGUUGAAUCUCGUUCGCGGAUGCGGAUCCUC